rnacentral:rRNA from 1 species
CAAUAGCGUAUAUUAAAGUUGUUGCAGUUAAAAAGCUCGUAGUUGAAUUUCGGGUCCCCGCGCUCGGCGCUUCAUUGUGCCGUCGUGGUGUCCCUCCUCGCCGUAAGGCGUCCUUUACUGUGAAAAAAUUAGAGUGUUCAAAGCAGGCAAUCGCUUGAAUACAUUAGCAUGGAAUAAUAAGAUAGGAUCUUGUCUAUUUUGUUGGUUGCGGACAACGAUAAUGAUUAAUAGGGAUAGUUGGGGGUGUCCGUAUUGAGCUGUCAGAGGUGAAAUUCUUGGAUUUGCUCAAGACGAACUACCGCGAAAGCAUUCACCAAGGAUGUUUUCAUUAA